AGACACCCUUAUGGGGCAGGUCUUGCUUCAUUGGGGCUUUGGUGCUCACUGAGGCUGCCCCCUCUGAGUGUGUCCCU
rfam:Myotis davidii contig15080, whole genome shotgun sequence.